CUUUCUCUGCUGAAAAUUUUCCUCCAAGUCUUUUUUCUGUGAACAUGUAGUCACGUAUCUUGAUCUAAAUGAAGUUUUUACUUUUCCGCAGGACAAGAUGGUCACAAAGUAAAAAAACAUGCGGACCAACCUCUUCCUGUCCUGAUACCGAUGAUACUGAUUCACAAUAUUCUCUCAGUAAUAUGAGUUCUUAUUCUCAGGACGCAGCUGACUCGCAUACGGACGGCAUCAGUGAGGAAAAAUACGGUUGGACGUCCAACUUAACGAAUCAGAUUUCACCAAAAAGUUCGUUUGACUGCCAACCUCAACAGGAAUCAAUUAACGUAAGCUGCGCAACCAGCAGCAGCCACCUCUCGAACCGCCCGGACAGUGACGCACACACUAUCACAACGACUCAAGUUGUUGCAACUAGUGGAGAUAAAAUUAUUGCCGUCGCAAAUCCAGCUCUUUACAAGUCACCUCCAAUCGACGCCGAUGCGAUUAAAAUUGAAUUCAAUUUUAAUUAGUAUAAUUUCAAUAAAUAUUUUUACAUUCAAUUGCAUUUUAUGUUACGGAUCCCUUUGGAUUUUUGAGCUAUUAACAAUGUUCAAAUGACUCAUUGUCAGUGUUUUGACACACUUGUCUCAUUUGAUCUUUUAACUUAUUGUAACGAAUAGGGUGGUCCAAACGCUUAAAUUCGACUUUCCAAGAGGUAUAUUUUUAAAUAGUGAUUUCUUUGCUACGUAAUUGAAAAAUAAUGGAAAAGGGAUGUUUUACGUUCUUUUCAAGUUUUUUAUAUUGCUUUGUCAUGGAUUUAUCUCCUUUUUUCAUUCACAAUCCUUUGAAAGUAAAAAAUAACCUCUAUGAAGAUGUAUAUUGUGAAUGAGAAUGAGAGCUAAAAUAUUAACAGAAAAAUCCGUAAUUCCUGCCUUAUUUUAAAGUAUCAAAACUUCAACUUGCCGCUUUAGUUAUUUGGAGACCAAUAAACGUGUUCAGUAUUUCCCAUUACAAAGCUCCUUUUCUACUUCCACUACAGGAUGUUAAAAAGUAAUUUGUGUCGUCAUACGAAAGACCUGUAAGGUUCAAUAUUUUGUGUGCAAUAAAUAUCUCAAGGAAGGUCAAGGCUUCUUGAUCACCCUGUGCUUCUUGAAAUUUUGAAACCGACGAAUUUCCUCAAUGUCAAAUCACGAUUUAUAAAUCCGUUAAUCCGUGUUUUCUUAUUGUAAUUUCACAGCCAUGUAAGCUUGUAUGGAGUUUAUGAAAACUUGCAAAAUUGUUGUCAAAUUUGUAUUUUUUCUGCAUCGCGCGGUUUUUCUUGAAAUUUGAUCUCAUGUAGGUAAUUAGUUCCCGAAUGUUCAAGACUUUCUUGUGGCAGAAUCUCAUGUUUUUAUUUUUUAUUCUUUUAUAAUCUCAAAGUUGCGAGAUCUUAAUUACGGUACUAUUCUGUUCGUUAAUUUUAGAGAAUUAGAGGUCGGCUCUAUCGAGGACGCUAAGGGCACUUUGUGUAUUUUUGUUUUUUUAUACCUGUUGAUUCUUUUAAGGAGUCGUAAAUUUUUAGAAACAAUUUUUUUUUCGUAAAAUUCUUGAUAAGGUGCUCUAUUCUGUUUUUAAGAAAAGAGUCAGUUGUGAUAUUAGGGUAGUAGUAAGCGUAGGAAAUCAUUUUGUAAAAGGUUACGUUGCGAGAUUCAGGUGUACCGUCGGACACCGGCGCGUAUUUUUUUUUUUUUUUUCUUUUUCUAGGGAGGGUAAACUCUCUGGUUCUGGACAAUCUGAGACACAUCCAGCUAUUCGCACGAGAAAAAUGUGUUCACAAAUUGUGUCAUAAGUAUACAUGAAUUUUAUAUUGUUAAUUUUUACCUAAACCCAAAUUAGUGAGUAAUUUUAUAAGUUUUCCAGAGGAAACUUUGUCAGGCUAGGCUAAGCCAAAAUUUCAUUUCUCUACAUAUCUAGAGAGAGUAGGUUUCAAAAACUCUUCCCUUCUAACUCAAAAAAUAAGAAAAAAAAGAAAGAGAGAGAAAAAAAGUCAGAGACUCCAUUUUAAUCAGAUAUCAUAAGCUUGAGCCAUAUAAAUGGAAAUUUACAAUUCUAAAAGUGAGUUACAGCUCUUUAUUUACCAACUUAUUUUUCCGGAAACUGUAGCGGUUCACUAUGAGUCUCGCAUCGUAUCUAUAUUUUACCACCGGUUGCAAUUUUAGUUGAGAUACCUAAGACGAGUCAAUGAGUCUCUCUCUGUCAGAAUAAGUGUAUUCUGUCCUCUCGGUCUGUGAUGUACGGUUUGCUGAAAUACUUCUUUUCGGUCCGGAAACUUUUGUUUUUUGUGUUUUUUCGUUCGUUAUUAUUUUUUUAAGUUUUCCCCCUAGUUUGUUUUUUUUUGUCUUUUUAAAUGUAAUUUUUCCGUCACAUCACUCGGACAUGAUAUAUCCAUUUGAAUAGAUAAAAACUUGUCUUGAAAUUGCAGGUAUCCAUGUAGUUCUACUAUGUUUAUCACAAUGUAAUUAUUUUAAUCAAACGUGAAUUUUUUUACUCUAAACUUUUGCUCCAAUAUGCAGCAUUCAUGCUCGGUGCGAGUGCACGAGGAAAUCGAAACAGUGGAGAAAAUUUCAUCGAGAGCUAUCACUUGUUUACUGGUUAAAAUUUAUCUGGGUUGCUACCUGCGUGUAUGUGUCAAAAAUUGUUUCAUUUCCUGUGGCGUUCCUUUCUUGUGACUCGUUAUUUUAGCGCUCCGAAGAAACGUCCAAAUGUCCCUGUCAGCUUAGUUUGGUAAUACUUACAAUUAUCAUUUGAGUAGUUAUCGCAUUUUAACUCACAGAAUACAGAAAAUCUGCAUAAAAUAUCUUCAUCUUCUCACUGCAGAUUUGUAUGUACUGACAAGAAUGAAGAACUCAACAUUUUUUCUAUAAGGUGCUAUUAGAAUGGCAUUGUGUCACUUCUAGAGCACACGUACCCUCAUGUUUGAAAAUGGUUGCCAUUUCUCAUCAAGAUAACAUUUCCUGUUUGAGAAUUUCAUCAGAAGUUUUUGCAUGUUGAUUAUGUAAUAAUAUUCAUAAGUUUUCUAAUGUGAAACAUAUUUUUUCAUGUUUUUUUCUUCCUUUAGAUUCCUAAACGUAAACUAACCUGAAUAUAGUACGGACCAUGGGUCCCAUGUAAACCCUCAAGAUAAAAUAAGGCAGCGGCGACUCAGGGUGGAAGGGGUUGUUGCCAACCCUUUGCACUCGUUACCAACCUCAGUCCUCACCGUACCAGAGGUUUAUGUUUAGAAGGCUUGUUUAAAUGUGACGCACAGUAUUGAUUUUAAAACUGAGUGAAUAUGCCAGACUAUUUCAUUCGAUUAAAAAUUGGCGGAGACACAAGCAAAUGAAACCUUAGUCUCUCUAAUUUUGGAUCGUUUGCAUGCAGCGUUCAUACCAUGCCUUUUAUCGCGCAAGAGUUCCUCAAAGCCCAAAACACCUAGGAGAUUAUUACAUUUUAAUUAGCCACGCACGUUGCACGUAAAGCUACUAUGCAGAGAUGCAAAGUUUCAUAAAACCU
rnacentral:lncRNA from 1 species